rnacentral:snRNA from 1 species
GUCACAAUUGUGUUACGCG